GAUGAACGCUAGCGGCAGGCUUAACACAUGCAAGUCGAGGGGUAUAGGUUUUCGGACCUAGAGACCGGCGCACGGGUGCGUAACGCGUAUGCAAUCUACCUUUCACAGAGGGAUAGCCCAGAGAAAUUUGGAUUAAUACCUCAUAGUAUAGCAGAUUCGCAUGAAACCACUAUUAAAGUAUCAACGGUUAAAGAUGAGCAUGCGUCCCAUUAGCUAGAUGGUAAGGUAACGGCUUACCAUGGCUACGAUGGGUAGGGGUCCUGAGAGGGAGAUCCCCUACACUGGUACUGAGACACGGACCCGACUCCUACGGGAGGCAGCAGUGAGGAAUAUUGGUCAAUGGACGCAAGUCUGAACCAGCCAUGCCGCGUGCAGGAUGACGGUCCUAUGGAUUGUAAACUGCUUUUGUACGAGAAGAAACAACAUUACGUGUAAUGUCUUGACGGUAUCGUAAGAAUAAGGAUCGGCUAACUCCGUGCCAGCAGCCGCCGCGGUAA
rnacentral:rRNA from 1 species